CACAUCGAAUGUUUAGAUACUAAUUAGGAGUAUUAAACAUAGACUAUUUAUAAAACCCAUUGCACAUAUGGAGGCUAAACAGAGAGACGAAUCUAUUAAGUCUAAUUAGUCCAUGAUUUGAUAAUGUGCUGCUACAGUAACCAUUUGCUAAUGAUGGAUUAAUUAGGCUUAAUAGAUUUGUCUGACCAUUUAGCCUCCAUCUGUGUAAUUAAUUUUAUAAUUAACUCAUAUUUAAUCCUCCUAAUUAGCCUCCGAAUAUUUGAU
rnacentral:lncRNA from 1 species